GAGGGACGAGUGGUGAUGAAGUCCAUAGUCACACUUUGUUGGACAUUAUCCUUUAUAUCAUUUAUUAUUUGCAGUAUUUUAUUGUAAGUAGAUAACAAAAUCUGUCUUCCCCAGAAUUACACUGAAAACAACAAAACCCAAGGUAUUAUGGAAAAAAGUCAAUGGGACUUGAAGAAGAUCCAUUUUCAACGGCGAAAGCUGACCAGGCUGGAUGGUUUUGUACACACAUACAAAGUCACGUUGAAAGGACCUCUCCGAGAAUACACAGACUCUGUGAGGCGGAAACGAAAGACACUAGACAUGGAGCGGUGGAAACAAAAAAAGCAGAGGAAACGUGGCGUUUAUGUGUCGUCUCUGACCAAGGCUUUUGUUUUCGAGCAAUACAAAAAAAAGAAAAGACAGAUGAGAAAAGCCUCCAAAGGUCUGUCUUCAGACAGCAAAGUGCCUGACAAAGGUAAUCCAGGACC